AACGAACGCUGGCGGCAGGCUUAACACAUGCAAGUCGAGCGCCCCGCAAGGGGAGCGGCAGACGGGUGAGUAACGCGUGGGAACGUACCCUUUGCUACGGAAUAGCUCCGGGAAACUGGAAUUAAUACCGUAUGUGCCCUACGGGGGAAAGAUUUAUCGGCAAAGGAUCGGCCCGCGUUGGAUUAGCUAGUUGGUGGGGUAAUGGCCUACCAAGGCGACGAUCCAUAGCUGGUCUGAGAGGAUGAUCAGCCACAUUGGGACUGAGACACGGCCCAAACUCCUGCGAGAGGCAGCAGUGGGGAAUAUUGGACAAUGGGCGCAAGCCUGAUCCAGCCAUGCCGCGUGAGUGAUGAAGGCCUUAGGGUUGUAAAGCUCUUUCACCGGAGAAGAUAAUGACGGUAUCCGGAGAAGAAGCCCCGGCUAACUUCGUGCCAGCAGCCGCAGUAACAC
rnacentral:rRNA from 1 species